rnacentral:rRNA from 1 species
GAUGAACGCUGGCGGCGUGCCUAAUACAUGCAAGUCGAGCGAACGGACGAGAAGCUUGCUUCUCUGAUGUUAGCGGCGGACGGGUGAGUAACACGUGGAUAACCUACCUAUAAGACGGGGAUAACUUCGGGAAACCGGCGCUUAUACCGGAUAAUAUUUUGAACCGCAUGGUUCAAAAGUGAAAGACGGUCUUGCUGUCACUUAUAGAUGGUUCCGCGCUGCAUUAGCUAGUUGGUAAGGUAACGGCUUACCAAGGCAACGAUGCAUAGCCGACCUGAGAGGGUGAUCGGCCACACUGGAACUGAGACGCGGUCCAGACUCCUACGGGAGGCAGCAGUAGGGAAUCUUCCGCAAUGGGCGAAAGCCUGACGGAGCAACGCCGCGUGAGUGAUGAAGGUCUUCGGAUCGUAAAACUCUGUUAUUAGGUAAGAACAUAUGUGUAAGUAACUGUGCACAUCUUGACGGUACCUAAUCAGAAAGCCACGGCUAACUACGUG